AUACGGAGGGUGCAAGCGUUAUCCGGAUUUAUUGGGUUUAAAGGGUCCGUAGGCUGAUUUGUAAGUCAGUGGUGAAAUCUCACAGCUUAACUGUGAAACUGCCAUUGAUACUGCAAGUCUUGAGUGUUGUUGAAGUAGCUGGAAUAAGUAGUGUAGCGGUGAAAUGCAUAGAUAUUACUUAGAACACCAAUUGCGAAGGCAGGUUACUAAGCAACAACUGACGCUGAUGGACGAAAGCGUGGGGAGCGAACAGGAUUAGAUACCCUGGUAGUCCACGCCGUAAACGAUGCUAACUCGUUUUUGGGUUUUCGGAUUCAGAGACUAAGCGAAAGUGAUAAGUUAGCCACCUGGGGAGUACGAACGCAAGUUUGA
rnacentral:rRNA from 1 species